rnacentral:rRNA from 1 species
AUUGAACGCUGGUGGCAGGCCUAACACAUGCAAGUCGAGCGAGCGGCGGACGGGUGAGUAAUGUCUGGGAAACUGCCUGCUGGAGGGGGAUAACUACUGGAAACGGUAGCUAAUACCGCAUACCAUCAGAUGUGCCCAUAUGGGAUUAGACAGUAGGUGGGGUAACGGCUCACCUAGGCGACGAGCCCUAGCUGGUCUGAGAGGUUGAUCAGUUCAACUGGAAAUGGGACAAGAUCCAGACUCGUGCGGGAGGCAGCAGUGGGGAAUAUUGGACAAUGGGCGAAAGCCUGAUCCAGCAAUGCCGCGUGUGUGAAGAAGGUCUUCGGAUUGUAGAGCACUUUAAGUUGAGAGGCGUUACCGACAGAAUAAGCACCGGCUAACUUCGUGCCAGCAGCCGCGGUAAUAC